UACGAAGGGGACUAGCGUUGUUCGGAAUCACUGGGCGUAAAGCGCACGUAGGCGGAUGUGUCAGUCAGGGGUGAAAUCCCGGGGCUCAACCUCGGAACUGCCUUUGAUACAGCACGUCUCGAGUCCGGAAGAGGUGGGUGGAAUUCCUAGUGUAGAGGUGAAAUUCGUAGAUAUUCGCAAGAACACCAGUGGCGAAGGCGGCUCACUGGCCCAUUACUGACGCUGAGGCACGAAAGCGUGGGGAGCAAACAGG
rnacentral:rRNA from 1 species